CACCAGGUUGAUUCUGCCUGACGUGGAUGCUGUUCUCUGGGACUAAGCCAUGCAUGUUGAUGAACCUUGUGGGGGAUUGACGGACGGCUCAGUGAUAGUACGAUGAUUUGGUUGGCGGGAGAGCUGUAACUGCGGGAAACUGCAGGUAGGGGGCUAGGAGUGUUUUUGACACGAGCCAAGUAAGCUGUAGGCCUAUCAGCUGGUAGUUAGGGUAAUGGCCUAACUAGGCGGAGACGGGAGACGGGGGAUCGGGGUUUGAUUCCGGAGAGGGAGCCUGAGAGAUGGCUACUACGUCCAAGGAUGGCAGCAGGCGCGAAACUUGCCUAAUCCUUUGGGGAGGCGGUUAUGAGAAGUGAGUUUUUUUCGAGUGUAAAGGAGUCGAGAUUGAUUGGAGGGCAAGUCGCGUGCCAGCAGCCGCGGUAAUACCUGCUCCAAUAGUGUCUAUGGUGAAUGCUGCAGUUAAAAAGUCCGUAGUCUUUUGUAUGUCUUUGUUUGGGGGAUUAUGUCCUGAUGUGGAUGUAAGAGGUUUGGCAGAGGACGAGGGGCACCGGAUAGUUGGGCGAGGGGUGAAAUACGAAGACCCUGACUGGACGGACAGAAGCGAAGGCUGUGCUCUUGGACUUAUGUGACGAUGAAGGACGAAGGCUAGAGGAUCGAAAUCGAUUAGAUACCGUUUUAGUUCUAGCAGUAAACGAUGCCGACUGGACGGGACUAUAUAGUGUUGUGCAUGAGAAAUCUUGAGUAUGUGGGUUCUGGGGAUAGUAUGCUCGCAAGAGUGAAACUUGAAGAGAUUGACGGAAGGACACCACAAGGAGUGGAGUGUGCGGCUUAAUUUGACUCAACGCGGGGCAACUUACCGGUUCUGAAGCGGGCAGGAGAACGAGGACGGGAUGCGUGCGGCGGUGGUGCAUGGCCGUUUGAAAUGGAUGGCGUGAGCUUUGGAUUAAGUUGCGUAAGAUGUGAGACCCUUUGACAGUGCUCUUUGGGGCAAGGGAGGAAUGGAACAGAACAGGUCCGUUAUGCCCUGAGAUGAAGCGGGCGGCACGCGCACUACGAUAGAUGGCGAGGGAGCCUGCUGUGAGGGAUGAAGCUGUGUAAUGGGCUUCUGAACGUGGAAUUCCUAGUAAUAACGAUUGAACAAGUUGUUUUGAAUGGGUCCCUGUCCUUUGUACACACCGCCCGUCGCUAUCCAAGAUGACGCAGUGGACGAAGAUUGGAAGGUCUGAGUCCUUCGUGUUAGAUAAGAUAUAAGUCGUAACAUGGCUGCUGUUGGAGAACCAUUAGCAGGAUCAUAA
rnacentral:rRNA from 15 species